ensembl:snRNA U6 U6 spliceosomal RNA
GAGCUCAUACUCCAUUUUGUAGCUCAUGUUCUAAAGUUGUAAUGAUACAGAGAUUAAUAUGGCCCUUGUACAAGAAUGACACAAAAAAUCACAAAGCAUUCCAUAUUUUA